rnacentral:tRNA from 17 species
GCCGGAAUAGCUCAGUU